AGCACGGCUGCUCCGGCUUCUUUCUCUGCCCCGCCCCCCCUCUGUCUUCCUCCACCGUAUCAUCUCCAAAAGACAGACCUAGAGACCAGUUUUCAUAUUUUUCAGUCCUUUCAAGAGGGCCCUUUUUUGAAGGCGACAACGACAAAAGAAUACCACCCAGAGGGGAAAAAAACACAGUUUCUGUGUGUUUAUCCGACCCAGUCCACGUAAUAUCGGGUCAGUAGGAAAUACCUGUUUAAUAUGCAGUUGAUCGUAGGCAAAAGCACCUGCGGGUGUUUCAGCAGGUGACCGUUUGGAAAGGUGUCUGGUGCAAAUACCCUCCAGGGUUGCUAGGAAGGAGGCCGGUGCCAGCGCUGGUCUGAGUCAGCACAGCCAAUGCACCGUCUCCAGAUGAUCAGGGGGCCUCCUGGGGAGGAGGCAGGCCCAGACUGCCCUGUAUAACCUGCAUUGCACGUGAAGAAUUUCAGGAUCUCCUUUGAUCACCCUCCACCUGCCUUGGUGUGGGGUCAGCACGGUGACAGGGGGAAAAGCACAUAGCUCGGCAGCCCUACGCAACCUUCAAGACGCCACCGGAUGCUUCGGAGAGCAUUCAACUUUGCUUGAUCCUGUGUCCCUAAACGCCACAAAUUUGAAACUGAACGCAGUGACUUCCGCCCCCUGGCAAGGAAGCCCCAUGUGCCAUGGUCAUCUUUGUCUCUGGGGCUUCCAGGAAGGAUAAGCACAGGUGUCUAAGAGUCCCACGAUAAUGAGGUAACUCCAUCAAGCCGAAGGAAAGACAGGUGUCAUUUUUCCAUUUUCUCUCAGUUUUCAGUUUUACGUCCAGCCAGCUCUUUAGUCAAUGGAAAGAUGCUUUCCUGGAUUUGAGGACUUGAUCUAUUGGUAAAUACCCUCAAAAACCUAAGCCACAACAACCUGCAGAAAUCUGCCCUUGGAAUGACUCUUUCUGGAAAACAUAGCAAUUAGGACUGCAUCCCCAAUCAAAAGGCUGCCUCUCACUUGAAAGCUCCCCUCUCUUGCAACUCUUGAAGAGUUACAGAUGAGUCAGGACCUGAAAAUUCAAGUCACUUUAGCUCGGGCCCUGUGGUUUUUCAUCCUUUGGCUAAAGCUACAAUUACAGAGAAGGCGCUCAAUCACCAGCUUUCUGGAAGCAAGUCGCCAGAUGAACUGUGAAUGGAGCUAUUGCUAAGCGUCUGCUCUUCAGAGACGGAGAGACGAGUAUUGAGGUGGCGUUUUUUGCUGAUUUAUCAGCAUUAAAUCAGAUGAGGAUAAUGGCAAAGUCGCCUAUCUUUCUACUAACAGUGAUCACUCCCCAAUACCUGGAGGAAGCUCUCACGACACGCAGGGAAUCUAAGCAGCAGGAAAGGAGGUUGAAAGUGACUUUCUGCCAGCCCCGCAUUAGUGGAACGGUUCUAUAAAUGAAGAUUUGCCAAGCAAAGGGGACCCACACAUUAACCUAACAUCAUCGGACGGUCAAAUGGAAUACUUAGACGAUGAAAAACUGGACGGUCUGAGUGGUGUCAUGGAAGUAGACUGAGGAAAUUUCUUCCUUCUAAAGAUUAGUAUGCGAAAGUUUUGGAGUGCUCUGCCUCUUUCCUGCUUCAGUAAUUGCCUUGUUCGCGAGUCCAGGUGAGUUGCCUCUUUCUUCUGUUGUGUCCCAUCUCCAUCUGGGGUAAAUUUUGGAGAUGACGUCUCACCAGCUUCAUGGCAUUUGGGAUAGAAGAACUUGCACGCAUCUUUAUGGACCAAGAUGAGUCGUAUUGGUCUUCAGGACCCCUUCGUUCUGUAAAAAAGAUAAAUGUUUCCAAGCUAAGACACGGAG